UACGUAGGUGGCAAGCGUUGUCCGGAAUUAUUGGGCGUAAAGCGCGCGCAGGCGGUUCCUUAAGUCUGAUGUGAAAGCCCACGGCUCAACCGUGGAGGGUCAUUGGAAACUGGGGAACUUGAGUGCAGAAGAGAAGAGCGGAAUUCCACGUGUAGCGGUGAAAUGCGUAGAGAUGUGGAGGAACACCAGUGGCGAAGGCGGCUCUUUGGCCUGUAACUGACACUGAGGCGCGAAAGCGUGGGGAGCAAACAGG
rnacentral:rRNA from 1 species